GACAGGCUUAACACAUGCAAGUCGAGGGGCAGCACAGGUAGCAAUACCGGGUGGCGACCGGCGCACGGGUGAGUAACGCGUAUGCAACUUGCCUAUCAGAGGGGGAUAACCCGGCGAAAGUCGGACUAAUACCGCAUGAAGCAGGGGCCCCGCAUGGGGAUAUUUGCUAAAGAUUCAUCGCUGAUAGAUAGGCAUGCGUUCCAUUAGGCAGUUGGCGGGGUAACGGCCCACCAAACCGACGAUGGAUAGGGGUUCUGAGAGGAAGGUCCCCCACAUUGGUACUGAGACACGGACCAAACUCCUACGGGAGGCAGCAGUGAGGAAUAUUGGUCAAUGGCCGAGAGGCUGAACCAGCCAAGUCGCGUGAGGGAUGAAGGUUCUAUGGAUCGUAAACCUCUUUUAUAAGGGAAUAAAGUGCGGGACGUGUCCCGUUUUGUAUGUACCUUAUGAAUAAGGAUCGGCUAACUCCGUGCCAGCAGCCGCGGUAAUACGGAGGAUCCGAGCGUUAUCCGGAUUUAUUGGGUUUAAAGGGUGCGUAGGCGGCCUUUUAAGUCAGCGGUGAAAGUCUGUGGCUCAACCAUAGAAUUGCCGUUGAAACUGGGGGGCUUGAGUAUGUUUGAGGCAGGCGGAAUGCGUGGUGUAGCGGUGAAAUGCAUAGAUAUCACGCAGAACCCCGAUUGCGAAGGCAGCCUGCCAAGCCAUUACUGACGCUGAUGCACGAAAGCGUGGGGAUCAAACAGGAUUAGAUACCCUGGUAGUCCACGCAGUAAACGAUGAUCACUAGCUGUUUGCGAUACACUGUAAGCGGCACAGCGAAAGCGUUAAGUGAUCCACCUGGGGAGUACGCCGGCAACGGUGAAACUCAAAGGAAUUGACGGGGGCCCGCACAAGCGGAGGAACAUGUGGUUUAAUUCGAUGAUACGCGAGGAACCUUACCCGGGUUUGAACGCAUUCGGACCGAGGUGGAAACACCUUUUCUAGCAAUAGCCGUUUGCGAGGUGCUGCAUGGUUGUCGUCAGCUCGUGCCGUGAGGUGUCGGCUUAAGUGCCAUAACGAGCGCAACCCUUGCCACUAGUUACUAACAGGUAAAGCUGAGGACUCUGGUGGGACUGCCAGCGUAAGCUGCGAGGAAGGCGGGGAUGACGUCAAAUCAGCACGGCCCUUACAUCCGGGGCGACACACGUGUUACAAUGGCGUGGACAAAGGGAAGCCACCUGGCGACAGGGAGCGAAUCCCCAAACCACGUCUCAGUUCGGAUCGGAGUCUGCAACCCGACUCCGUGAAGCUGGAUUCGCUAGUAAUCGCGCAUCAGCCAUGGCGCGGUGAAUACGUUCCCGGGCCUUGUACACACCGCCCGUCAAGCCAUGGGAGCCGGGGGUACCUGAAGUCCGUAACCGCGAGGAUCGGCCUAGGGUAAAACUGGUGACUGGGGCUAAGUCAUAACA
rnacentral:rRNA from 1 species